GGGAUUGCCCUAGUAACGGCGAGUGAAGCGGCAACAGCUCAAAUUUGAAAUCUGGCCCUCGGGUCCGAAUUGUAAUUUGUAGAGGAUGCUUUUGGUGCGGUGCCUUCCGAGUUCCCUGGAACGGGACGCCAGAGAGGGUGAGAGCCCCGUACGGUUGGACACCUACCCUAUAUAUAGCUCCUUCGACGAGUCGAGUAGUUUGGGAAUGCUGCUCUAAAUGGGAGGUAAAUUUCUUCUAAAGCUAAAUACCGGCCAGAGACCGAUAGCGCACAAGUAGAGUGAUCGAAAGAUGAAAAGCACUUUGAAAAGAGGGUUAAAUAGCACGUGAAAUUGUUGAAAGGGAAGCGUUUGUGACCAGACUUUUUCCUAGUGGAUCAUCCGGUGUUCUCACCGGUGCACUUCACUGGGUUUAGGCCAGCAUCGGUUUCCGGAGGGGGACAAAAGCAUGGGGAAUGUGGCUCUUUCGGGAGUGUUAUAGCCCCUAGCAUAAUACCUCUCCUGGGGACCGAGGACCGCGCUUCGGCAAGGAUGCUGGCGUAAUGGUUAUCAACGACCCGUCUUGAAACACGGACCAAGGAGUCGAACAUUUGUGCGAGUGUUUGGGUAUCAAACCCUCACGCGUAAUGAAAGUGAACGGAGGUGAGAGCCCUUCGGGGUGCAUCAUCGACCGAUCCUGAUGUCUUCGGAUGGAUUUGAGUAAGAGCAUAACUGUUCGGACCCGAAAGAUGGUGAACUAUGCGUGGAUAGGGUGAAGCCAGAGGAAACUCUGGUGGAGGCUCGCAGCGGUUCUGACGUGCAAAUCGAUCGUCAAAUCUGCGCAUGGGGGCGAAAGAC
rnacentral:rRNA from 1 species